AUUGUACCUGGCCUCAGAUUGAACGCUGGCGGCAGGCCUAACACAUGCAAGUCGAGCGGUAACAUUUCUAGCUUGCUAGAAGAUGACGAGCGGCGGACGGGUGAGUAAUACUUGGGGAUCUGCCUGAUGGCGGGGGACAACCACUGGAAACGGUGGCUAAUACCGCAUAAUGCCUACGGGCCAAAGUGUGGGACCUUCGGGCCACAUGCCAUCAGAUGAACCCAAGCGAGAUUAGCUAGUUGGUGAGGUAACGGCUCACCAAGGCGACGAUCUCUAGCUGUUCUGAGAGGAUGAUCAGCCACACUGGGACUGAGACACGGCCCAGACUCCUACGGGAGGCAGCAGUGGGGAAUAUUGGACAAUGGGCGCAAGCCUGAUCCAGCCCAGCCGCGUGUGUGAAGAAGGCCUUCGGGUUGUAAAGCACUUUCAGUGGUGAGGAAGGCGUUGUAGUUAAUAGCUGCAACGAUUGACGUUAGCCACAGAAGAAGCACCGGCUAAACUCCGUGCCAGCAGCCGCGGUAAUACCGGAGGGUGCGAGCGUUAAUCGGAAAUUACUGGGGCGUAAAGCGCACGUUAGGCGGCUUGUUAAGCAAGGAUGUGAAAAGCCCCAGGGGCUCAACCUUUGGGAAUUUGCAUUUUUGGAACUGGCAGCUUAGAGUUUUUGAAAGAGGGGUGGUUAGAAUUUUCCAGUGUAAGCGGG
rnacentral:rRNA from 1 species